GACGAAGGGGGCUAGCGUUGUUCGGAAUUACUGGGCGUAAAGAGCGCGCAGGCGGUCGUUCAAGUCGCGUGUGAAAGCCCCCGGCUCAACUGGGGAGGGUCACGCGAUACUGAUCGACUCGAAGGCAGGAGAGGGAAGUGGAAUUCCCGGUGUAGUGGUGAAAUGCGUAGAUAUCGGGAGGAACACCAGUGGCGAAGGCGACUUCCUGGCCUGUUCUUGACGCUGAGGCGCGAAAGCUAGGGGAGCAAACGGG
rnacentral:rRNA from 1 species